UACGUAGGGUGCGAGCGUUAAUCGGAAUUACUGGGCGUAAAGCGUGCGCAGGCGGUUUUGUAAGCCAGAUGUGAAAUCCCCGGGCUUAACCUGGGAAUGGCAUUUGGGACUGCAAGGCUCGAGUGCGGCAGAGGAGACUGGAAUUCCUGGUGUAGCGGUGAAAUGCGCAGAUAUCAGGAGGAACACCAGUGGCGAAGGCGAGUCCCUGGACAACUUCUGACGCUGAGGCACGAAAGCUAGGGGAGCAAACAGG
rnacentral:rRNA from 1 species